rnacentral:pre_miRNA from 1 species
AGGAGCAACAGCCCUAGUGGCGGGGCCAGCUCUGGAAACCUGGAUUCAGCCCCCGCAGGAUCUCUGGAGCUCUUGGUCUGCAGGGCCUGGAGGCUCCGGGCGGGG